AGGCCGAAUUUUUCAAUGAGUUUGUACAUGAGUUUCAUUAUAUAAAUGUUGAUUGGGCAGACUCUCCUUCAGAAAGAUAUUCUACAUGAGAUUACUGUGCUCUUUCUUGGAAAUAUGAUAUUGUGGCAACAAGAAGCAGACAGAACCCACUUGGGUUGGUUUGGUGGUAUUGGCUUGGGACCUGGGAGUGUGCUCCUCCUUAAGGUCUCAGGUUCGAUUCUCUCUGGUGCCAAUUUGGGUCGGCUAAUUUAAC
rnacentral:lncRNA from 1 species